CAACCUCAACUCAUAUGGGACUACCCCCUGAAUUUAAGCAUAUUAAUUAGGGGAGGAAAAGAAACUAACAAGGAUUUUCUUAGUAGCGGCGAGCGAAAAGAAAUCAGUUCAGCACUAAGUCACUUUGUCUAUAUGGCAAAUGUGAGAUGCAGUGUACGGAACAUCAACAUUCUAGUAUGAGAAGUUAACGAUUUAAGUCCUUCUUAAAUGAGGCCAUUUACCCAUAGAGGGUGCCAGGCCCGUAUAACGUUAAUGAUUACUAGAUGGUGUUUCCAAAGAGUCGUGUUGCUUGAUAGUGCAGCACUAAGUGGGUGGUAAACUCCAUCUAAAACUAAAUAUAACCAUGAGACCGAUAGUAAACAAGUACCGUGAGGGAAAGUUGAAAAGAACUCUGAAUAGAGAGUUAAAUAGUACGUGAAACUGCUUAGAGGUUAAGCCCGAUGAACCUGAAUAUCCGUUAUGGAAAAUUCAUCAUUAGAAUUGUAAUAUUUUAAACAAUAUUAUAAUAAUAGUGUGCAUUUUUUCCAUAUAAGGACAUUGUAAUCUAUUAGCAUAAAUAUUUAUCAUAAAAUUAUGUCUGAUUGCUUAUUUGAAUUAUAUGCUUGGCAUUUUAACAUAAAAUAAAAGAUAUAAAUUUGAUAAAGUGCUGAUAGAUUUAUAUGAUUACAGUGCGUUAAUUUUUCGGAAUUAUAUAAUGGCAUAAUUAUCAUUGAUAUUUGUGUUUAUUAUAUGCAUUUGUAUGAUUAACAAUGCGAAAGAUUCAGGAUACCUUCGGGACCCGUCUUGAAAACACGGACCAAGGAGUCUAACAUAUGUGCAAGUUAUUGGGAUAUAAACCUAAUAGCGUAAUUAACUUGACUAUUAAUGGGAUUAGUUUUUUAACUAUUUAUAGUUAAUUAACGCAAUCCCGGGGCGCUCUAUAUAGUUAUGUAUAAUAAUAUUUAUAUUAUUUAUGCCUCUAACUGGAACGUACCCUUGAGCAUAUUAUGCUUGUGUCACCCGAAAGAUGGUGAACUAUACUUGAUCAGGUUGAAGUCAGGGGAAACCCUGAUGGAAGACCGAAACAGUUCUGACGUGCAAAUCGAUUGUCAGAAUUGAGUAUAGGGGCGAAAGACCAAUCGAACCAUCUAGUAGCUGGUUCCUUCCGAAGUUUCCCUCAGGAUAGCUGGUGCAUUUAACUGUUGUAUAAAAUAAUCUUAUCUGGUAAAGCGAAUGAUUAGAGGCCUUAGGGUCGAAACGAUCUUAACCUAUUCUCAAACUUUAAAUGGGUAAGAACCUUAACUUUCUUGAUAUGAAGUUUAAGGUUAUGAUAUAAUGUGCCCAGUGGGCCACUUUUGGUAAGCAGAACUGGCGCUGUGGGAUGAACCAAACGUAAUGUUACGGUGCCCAAAUUAACAACUCAUACAGAAACCAUGAAAGGCGUUGGUUGCUUAAAACAGCAGGACGGUGAUCAUGGAAUUCAAAAUCCGCUAACGAGUGUGUAACAACUCACCUGCCAAAACAACUAACCCUUAAAAUGGAUGGCGCUUAAAUUGUAUACCUAUACAUUACCGCUAAAGUAGAUGGUUUAUAUUACUUGUAAUAUAAAUUUUGAAACUUUAGUGAGUAUGAAGGUACAAUGGUGUGCAUACAAGUGUUUGGCGUAAACCUGCAUGGAGCCGCUAUUGGUACAGAUCUUGGUGGUAAUAUCCAUAAUCGAAUGAGACCUUGGAGGACUGAAGUGGAGAAGGUUUCGUGUGAACAGUGUUGAUCACGAGUUAGUCGGUCUUAAGUUCAAGGCGAAAGCCGAAAAUUUUCAAGUAAAGAAAAAUCUAAAUAUAUUUGUCAUCUAACCGAUUUUUAUACACUUGAAUAAUUUUGAACGAAAGGGAAUACGGUUCCAAUUCCGUAACCUGUUGAGUAUCCGUUUGUUAUUAAAUAUGGGCCUCGUGCUCAUCCUGGCAACAGGAACGACCAUAAAGAAGCCGUCGAGAGGUAUCGGAAGAGUUUUCUUUUCUGUUUUAUAGCCGUACUACCAUGGAAGUCUUUCGCAGAGAGAUAUGGUAGAUGGGCUAGAAGAGCAUGACAUAUACUGUUGUGUCGAUAUUUUCUCCUCGGACCUUGAAAAUUUAUGGUGGGGACACGCAAACUUCUCAACAGGCCGUACCAAUAUCCGCAGCUGGUCUCCAAGGUGAAGAGUCUCUAGUCGAUAGAAUAAUGUAGGUAAGGGAAGUCGGCAAAUUAGAUCCGUAACUUCGGGAUAAGGAUUGGCUCUGAAGAUUGAGAUAGUCGGGCUUGAUUGGGAAACAAUAACAUGGUUUAUGUGCUCGUUCUGGGUAAAUAAAGUUUCUAUCAUUUAUGGUAGUUUCUUGUUCCCCGGAUAGUUUAGUUACGUAGCCAAUUGUGGAACUUUCUUGCUAAAAUUUUUAAGAAUACUAGUUGGGCUACCAAUUAGUUCUUUUAAAUUAUAACGAUUAUCAAUUAACAAUCAAUUCAGAACUGGCACGGACUUGGGGAAUCCGACUGUCUAAUUAAAACAAAGCAUUGUGAUGGCCCUAGCGGGUGUUGACACAAUGUGAUUUCUGCCCAGUGUUUUGAAUUUCAAAGGGAGGAAAUUCAAGUAAGGGGGGGUCAACGGCGGGAGUAAAUUUGACUUUCUUAAGGUACCAAAUGCCUCGUCAUUUAAUUAGUGAGGGGCAGGAAUGGAUUAAGGAGAUUCCUACUGUCCCUAUCUACUCAGUUCGUUUCAGACAGUCGUUGGGAACAGACGUGUUUAUUUCAUCGCUCGCUUCGC
rfam:Drosophila virilis strain TSC#15010-1051.87 Ctg01_15276, whole genome shotgun sequence.